GAGAGCCAAAUGAAUCGAAAGGUUCAUGUUUGGUUCGGGAAUAGAGUUUCAUUUCGUAAAGCAAUGAAAAAAUCCAUUGAAUUAAC
rnacentral:ncRNA from 1 species